rnacentral:rRNA from 1 species
UGAAUACGAGAUGCUACGGCGUCGAAGCAGUCUAUGUCAUACUUCCAAGAAAAGCUUGCACUGUCAUAAACAAAUAAUGCCUGUACCAUAACCGACACAGGUGGGUAGGUAGAGUAUACUAAGGGGCGCGAGAUAACUCUCUCUAAGGAACUCGGCAAAAUGACUCCGUAACUUCGGGAGAAGGAGUGCCUUAUUUAUAAGGUUGCAAUAACAAGAUCCAAGCAACUGUUUACCAAAAACACAGGUCUCCGCUAAGUCGUAAGACGAUGUAUGGGGGCUGACGCCUGCCCAGUGCCAGAAGGUUAAAGAAGUUGGUUAGCAUCCACGAAGCUGAUAACUGAAGCCCUGGUGAACGGCGGCCGUAACAAUAACGGUCCUAAGGUAGCGAAAUUCCUUGUCGGGUAAGUUCCGACCCGCACGAAAGGCGUAAUGAUUUGGAUACUGUCUCGGAGAGGGGCUCGGUGAAAUAGACUUGUCUGUGAAGAUGCGGACUACCUGCACCAGGACAGAAAGACCCUAUGAAGCUUUACUGUAACCUGAAAUUGAAAUUGGACUUUACUUGCGCAGUAUAGGUGGGAGGCGUUGAGAAUAUUCUUGCGGGAUUAUUGGAGCCAUCAGUGAGAUACCACUCUUGUAAUGUUAGAUUUCUAACUUUGUAUCAUUAUCUGGUCAAAGAACAGUUUCAGGCGGGCAGUUUGACUGGGGCGGUCGCCUCCUAAACGGUAACGGAGGCGCACAAAGGUUUCCUCUGAACGGGUAGAAAUCGUAUCUAGGGUGUAAAGGCAUAAGGAAGCUUGACUGUGAGACCUACAAGUCGAGCAGGGACGAAAGUCGAUCUUAGUGAUCUGACGGUGCUGAGUGGAAAGGCCGUCACUCAACGGAUAAAAGUUACUCUAAGGAUAACAGGCUGAUCUCCCCCAAGAGUUCACAUCGACGGGGAGGUUUGGCACCUCGAUGUCGGCUCAUCGCAUCCUGGGGCGGUAGUACGUCCCAAGGGUUGGGCUGUUCGCCCAUGAAAGCGGUACGCGAGCUGGGUUCAGAACGUCGUGAGACAGUUCGGUCCAUAUCCGGUGUAGGCGUUAGAAUAUUGAGAGGAGCCUUCUUUAGUACGAGAGGACCGAGAAGGACAUACCUCUGGUGUACCAGUUAUCGUGCCAACGGUAAACGCUGGGUAGCUAUGUGUGGAGUGGAUAACCGCUGAAAGCAUCUAAGUGGGAAGCCCACCUCAAGAUAAG